rnacentral:rRNA from 1 species
GGAUGCGAUCAUACCAGCACUAAAGCACCGGAUCCCAUCAGAACUCCGAAGUUAAGCGUGCUUGGGCGAGAGUAGUACUAGGAUGGGUGACCUCCCUGGGAAGUCCUCGUGUUGCAUCCC